rnacentral:rRNA from 1 species
UACAGAGGGGGCAAGCGUUGUUCGGAAUUACUGGGCGUAAAGGGCGCGUAGGCGGCCUGCUAAGUCGAACGUGAAAUCCCUGGGCUCAACCCAGGAACUGCGUCUGAUACUGGGAGGCUAGAGUGCGGGAGAGGGAUGCGGAAUUCCAGGUGUAGCGGUGAAAUGCGUAGAUAUCUGGAGGAACACCGGUGGCGAAGGCGGCAUCCUGGACCGACACUGACGCUGAGGCGCGAAAGCUAGGGUAGCAAACGGG